CCUGGCUCAGAACGAACGCUGGCGGCAGGCUUAACACAUGCAAGUCGAGCGCCCCGCAAGGGGAGCGGCAGACGGGUGAGUAACGCGUGGGAAUCUACCCAUCACUACGGAACAACUCCGGGAAACUGGAGCUAGUACCGUAUACGUCCUUCGGGAGAAAGAUUUAUCGGUGAUGGAUGAGCCCGCGUUGGAUUAGCUAGUUGGUGGGGUAAUGGCCUACCAAGGCGACGAUCCAUAGCUGGUCUGAGAGGAUGAUCAGCCACACUGGGACUGAGACACGGCCCAGACUCCUACGGGAGGCAGCAGUGGGGAAUAUUGGACAAUGGGCGCAAGCCUGGUCCAGCCAUGCCGCGUGAGUGAUGAAGGCCCUAGGGUUGUAAAGCUCUUUCAACGGUGAAGAUAAUGACGGUAACCGUAGAAGAAGCCCCGGCUAACAUCGUGCCAGCAGCCGCGGUAAUACGAAGGGGGCUAGCGUUGUUCGGAUUUACUGGGCGUAAAGCGCACGUAGGCGGAUUGUUAAGUUAGGGGUGAAAUCCCAGGGCUCAACCCUGGAACUGCCUUUAAUACUGGCAAUCUCGAGUCCGGAAGAGGUGAGUGGAAUUCCGAGUGUAGAGGUGAAAUUCGUAGAUAUUCGGAGGAA
rnacentral:rRNA from 1 species